GAUUCAGAUCCAGUCCUGACCAAGUCUGCCAAGGCCUCUGUGGCUCUCAUGUGCAUCUCCCUGGUCCUGGUCUUCCUGCUCUGCUUCGGCUUCUCCUGGCGCAGGAGGGACGAGAAGCAGAAGUCUCUGAGCGUGUCCGGGAUCAUUCUGCCUCCCCACGUGGUGGUUGGACAGAAGGGCCGUGUGACUGUUAGCAUUGAGGGACGCAGAGUCGACCGAGUCGAAACCAGCUGGUUCCUCAAUGACACACCCAUCGCCGACACCUCACGCAAAGGUAAACCAGCUAGGCCACUACCAUCUCAGGCACAGGUAAACCAGCUAGGCCACUCCCACCUCACGCACAGGUAAACCAGCUAAGCCACUCCCAUCUCAGGUACAGGUAAACCAGCUCGACCGUGUUUGACCGACAGGUACUGCAGGAAGGGGUUGAUGCAUUGAUUACACAUAAAGAGAAUUUAAUUCAAAUAUGAGCUUCCAAGCAAUCUCCAUAGAAAGUGAAUUGGAUAUGUAGAACAGAAGCAUCUCCAAGGAUCUUGAAUCCGCACAAUCUUUUACUUAUGGUUUUAAAAAGUACAAUGC
ensembl:lncRNA